GCCUGGGUGGCUCAGUCGGUUAAGCAUCUGACUUUGGCUCAGGUCAUGAUCUCAAGGUUCGUGGGUUCGAGCCCCGCGUCGGGCU
rfam:Felis catus isolate Cinnamon breed Abyssinian chromosome A2, whole genome shotgun sequence.